CAACAACACCCUGCUGCAUCAGCGAGCAGAGACAGAUAGAGGUGAGGAACAGAGAGAGAAUAAAAUUGGCCGCCACACGAGAAUCUCGUCGCCACCGCCCAUCCCAGCUCUCGUCACCAAUGGGGCCUGGGUGUUAACCCAGGGGGCUUCGCCCCAUCAACGGGGUGUGUCGUGGUCGAGACGGAGGGGAUCGGCCAUCCUGGCAAGCCUAAUUGCUCAUCGGAGUCUGAAAUCCACCACGAGUCUGCCCUUGGGCGCGGCGAGAUCUCUACGCCCUAUUCUUCGGUAUGA
rnacentral:lncRNA from 7 species